GCCGAGGUCGCCUAGCCCGGUAUGGCGCAGGCCUGGAAAGCCUGUUGUGCAUUUGCACUGCAAGGGUUCAAAUCCCUUCCUCGGCG
rnacentral:tRNA from 1 species